AAAAAGACAAAUCCUGGUUUCCGUACCUAACGUUUGACUGUUCGUCUUAUUUGAAAAAAAUAGGAAUCUUUUUUUAAAAAAGUCACGCAUAAAAUAUUAAUCAUGUUCUAUCAUCUAACAACAAUGAAAAUACGAAUUAUAAAAAAAUUUCAUAUAAGACCAACAAUUAAAGUUGGAAAAAAAAACAGCCUUUGAC
rnacentral:pre_miRNA from 1 species